rnacentral:rRNA from 1 species
GACGAGCCACCCAAACGUUAUUCGGAAUUACUGGGCUUAAAGGGCUCGUAGGCGGUCCGUCGCGUCGAAUGUGAAAACCCGGGGCUCAACCCCGGGCCUGCAUUCGAUACGGGCGGACUAGAGUUCGGUAGGGGAGACUGGAAUUCCUGGUGUAGCGGUGAAAUGCGCAGAUAUCAGGAGGAACACCGGUGGCGAAGGCGGGUCUCUGGGCCGAUACUGACGCUGAGGAGCGAAAGCGUGGGGAGCGAACAGG